UACGUAGGGGGCAAGCGUUGUCCGGAAUCACUGGGCGUAAAGCGUGCGUAGGCGGUCUGGUAAGUCUGGAGUGAAAGUCCAAGGCUCAACCUUGGGAUUGCUUUGGAAACUGCUAGACUUGAGUGCUGGAGAGGCAAGGGGAAUUCCACGUGUAGCGGUGAAAUGCGUAGAUAUGUGGAGGAAUACCAGUGGCGAAGGCGCCUUGCUGGACAGUGACUGACGCUGAGGCACGAAAGCGUGGGGAG
rnacentral:rRNA from 1 species